GUGUAGUCUCUCUUUUGCUU
rnacentral:snRNA from 1 species